UUAAUAAUUAUAUUUCUACCAGGAUGGGAAAGUACCUUGCUAUGCUCAUCCACAUUUAUGUUUGUGUUGGGAGUUUGUAUUUUUUUCCCUUUAUUUUUGGGUGUUAGCCUUUGUUAUCUCCUUAUGUCAUAAGCAUAAAAACCUUAAAGGCUAAUUUUUUUCGUCUACUAAAUCUCAAUGCAGUUUUACACAUUUCUUGGUACAAGUCUAGUGGCUUUGUCAUUACUUCCACAUUUUAUAGCAUUUUUUAGUGAUGGAGAAAUAUCUGGAACUCCUGGGACCCUUGCCACUAGAUUUCUUGCCCUUGGUAAUAUCCGAUUUAGCUAUUUUUCCAAUUUAACGGGUUGCAUCAUUGGUAGUGCAAAUACCACAACUAUCGAUUUAAUAUUUCUUGCUUACCUUAAUGUGUGUAUUUUUUGAACUAAGAGUUUUUCUCAUGCUUGCUUAAGUCAUCUCUCCCCAGGUCACCAAUAUAAGUGGGCCUGCAUUACCUAAUAAAAAGUUAACCAAUAUUCAUAUAUUUUGAUGUAUGUCAUACCUCUUGGUUUAUGAACAUGGACAACGGUUUCAAGAGUGAAGGGGCUUUCACAUUUUCUCUCUCCCUCCCUCUCUCUCUCACAUUCUGAAAAAAUAAAAUGGCAAGUCUGAGAAGGACGUUGAUGAUUGUCGAUUGACUUCUAAAAUUGAUGGCCGCGAUCCACCGCAGCUCCAUUGCAGCAACAACAGUUGAGCUUCCUCUUUUGUUCCCAUGGAGACUCUGCUUUGGCCAUUAUUGGGUUGUGUAAAUGCUGGGUUUUAUCGUUUCUAUUCGAACAAUUUCAACUCGCUUGCUAUCGAUCUCUCAGACAAAGAGAGCAAGAGACUACUAUACAGGAGCCGACAACGUGGGUUUCUGGAAUUAGAUUUGGUUCUAAGAAAAUGGGUGGAGGAGAAUAUCCAUUCUAUGGAUGAAAAUGGAAUCAAAGCUCUUUGCCAUGUCCUUAUAAAUAUGUGUAUAUGUUAGAGGUAAGAUUUAUAUGAGGUAUUUGAUGACAUUGAGAUGCAUAUUCCAUCUUCACAUCAUGUAAAACUUAUAAUGUUGAAUUAAUUAUAAAUGCAUAUUAAUUUAACUGUCUCAGUUUUCAUGGCUAAUGCAUAUAUAAUAUAAGUGCAUUACGCUUUGGAAGCUUGUGAUAUCAAUGUUUCAAAGACCCAAAAAAAAAAAAUCCUGUAUAAAAGAAAUACUGGUCUUGUUUUGUUUUUCUUUUUGACAAAAAAUGAUAAAUUCUAAUGUUAUAUUUGGUUGCAUAUAUCCAUUGUUGUAUGACUGGUUCUCUUAAUUUCAAAUGAGAGUUAUUAGUGGUGUAUAUUAAUCUCUCAGUUUGCAUCAAGUGAAAUACUUCUGUAUUGAAUUUGGAAAAAAAUGAUUGACACAAAUUUUCUUUUUUCUUAUGUAUAGAGAAACUAGUGUAAACA